rnacentral:rRNA from 1 species
GCCAGACUCCUACGGGAGGCAGCAGUGGGGGAUAUUGCACAAUGGGGGGAACCCUGAUGCAGCGACGCCGCGUGGGUGAAGGAGCGUUUCGGCGCGUAAAGCCCUAUCGGCAGGGAAGAAGGAGGACGGUACCUGACUAAGAAGCCCCGGCUAACUACGUGCCAGCAGCCGCGGUAAUACGUAGGGGGCAAGCGUUAUCCGGAUUUACUGGGUGUAAAGGGGGCGCAGACGGCAGCGCAAGCCAGGAGUGAAAGCCCGGGGCCCAACCCCGGGACUGCUCUUGGAACUGCGCGGCUGGAGUGCAGGAGGGGCAGGCGGAAUUCCUGGUGUAGCGGUGAAAUGCGUAGAUAUCAGGAGGAACACCGGUGGCGAAGGCGGCCUGCUGGACUGCGACUGACGUUGAGGCCCGAAAGCGUGGGGAGCAAACAGGAUUAGAUACCCCCGUACA